rnacentral:tRNA from 1 species
GUAAAUAUAGUUUAAUAAAAACAUUAAAUUGUGAUUUUAAUAAUAGAAAUUAACAACUUCUUAUUUACC